rnacentral:rRNA from 1 species
GACAGAGGUCGCAAGCGUUGUUCGGAUUUACUGGGCGUAAAGGGCGUGUAGGCGGAUGUGCAAGUCGGGGGUGAAAGGCCAGGGCUCAACCCGGGACGGUCUCCCGAAACUGCACAUCUCGAGAAAGUCAGAGGCAGGUGGAAUUCCAGGUGUAGAGGUGAAAUUCGUAGAGAUCUGGAGGAACACCGGCGGCGAAGGCGGCCUGCUGGGGCUUUUCUGACGCUGAGGCGCGAAAGCGUGGGGAGCAAACAGG